AUUUGGUGAAGAAGAAACAUGAUAAUACUGCAGAGUCGUUUAUGACUGAAGGGAAGGUUUCACCUGAUCCAGUUGCAAUUGAUGCACCUGGAGGGCUUCUCCUUGAGUGGUGGUCUGUGUUGUGGGAUAUCUUCAUUGCAAGGACAAAUGAGAAACAUUCAGAGCCUGCUGCAGCUUAUAUUGAGGCACAACAAGGUAAAGCGAAGGAGCAGCAAAUGCAAAUUCAGCGAUGUUUGGACAAGCUCAAGCUCAUAUGCAAC